GUCAUUUAGAAAAAGGACAUUUUGUUGGCAUGUGAUGAAAAUAUUAUGCAACAUCUCCUAUGUUUCCUAAAAUAAAAUGAAAUGAUUAUUUUGUGCUUUGAACUUUUGUUUAGAUAUCUACUCGUGCAUACAUGCUGAUAAGAGUGGUACUUAAGAGCGUUUUUUUUUCGCGACAUUUUUAUAUAUUUCUGCUCGCGUUUUCUGCAAUCAGUAGUCUUUGUGUGCGUUCUUUACGAUUGUCGAUCAACUUGAGAAUCUUCUUAUCACGUAACCUACCUCACCAACAAGUAAAACUAACUGGACAAACCAUUCGAUUACUCAAUUUUUGUGAAAAGGAGCCACUUGAUAUCGUGAUAACUAUUCUUUGGAUACCAACUAUACAAAAACUAAAAAUCCUUUUAAAAUGCGUUUUUCAUUUUCAUUAUUCGCUCUAAUGCUGGUAGUAUUACUGAACGAUAAAUUAUUUGUAAAUGCUGACCAGGGCGACUGCCUGGAUUGUAAAACUAUAGCUGGUAAAUAUACCAAACUAAAAUCAAUAGCCUUUGUUAAAGAAGCUAAGAACAGUCCGGGCCCAUAUUAUUUCGCGGUCACCGUCAAAAAUGAGAAAAUUUAUCUGCCACCAGAAGCGGUUGACUUGUGUUUACAAGCUGUGCUUCUAAAUUUAAACAUUUAUGUUAAUACAAUGACCCAAGAUUUUAAUGUUGCUGGACCAUCUUAUAAUCCACCAUUUUGAGAAAACUUCCGCUCAAGUUCGCGUGUAAAACAGAUAAGUUUAUAAAUACCUAAGUUAUAAUACAUUCUUACAGUACAUAUAUUAUUCUUGACGUUUAUAAAUACCUAAGUUAAUACAUUCUUACAGCAUAUUA